UGAGGAAUAUUGGUCAAUGGACGAGAGUCUGAACCAGCCAAGUCGCGUGCAGGAUGACGGCCCUAUGGGUUGUAAACUGCUUUUGUUUGGGAAUAAUCGACAUUACGUGUAAUGUUUUGCAUGUACCAUAUGAAUAAGGACCGGCUAAUUCCGUGCCAGCAGCCGCGGUAAUACGGAAGGUUCGGGCGUUAUCCGGAUUUAUUGGGUUUAAAGGGAGCGUAGGCCGUUUGGUAAGCGUGUUGUGAAAUGUAGGAGCUCAACUUCUAGAUUGCAGCGCGAACUGUCAGACUUGAGUGCGCACAACGUAGGCGGAAUUCAUGGUGUAGCGGUGAAAUGCUUAGAUAUCAUGAAGAACUCCGAUUGCGAAGGCAGCUUACGGGAGUGUUACUGACGCUUAAGCUCGAAGGUGCGGGUAUCGAACAGG
rnacentral:rRNA from 1 species